GCUACAGGCAGUAGAAUAUUGGGACCCUCUCUGUGUGUCUCUUUCUCUUUCUCUCUCUCCCUCACCCUCACCUCCUCCUCCCCUGCAAUGGAGUCCUAUAGAUGACUAAGACUUUAUCCUUGGCUCUGAUUAGUACUUUUCCUCAAAUGACACAUUGAGAGAGCAUAAAACAGUUCUCUACUUCUGUAGUCUAGAGUCUGUAUUCUACUUUCUCUUUCAGGACAUUCACUGCCUUCUAGAUUUUAUUUUUCUGGACUGGAGCGAUAGCACAGCGGGUAGGGUGUUUGCCUUGCAUGCAGUCGACCUGGGUUUGAUUCCUCUGUUCCUCUCCUUCAUAGUGAUUGUAUUCUGGCAUCUUAAGUCUUGAUCCUGUGAAUAAUAUGUACAAAUCAAAUUUUAUUAGAAGGUUCUCAACUAACACAACACUGUUGUUUUUUCUCAGACAGUAGAUUGGUCAGAUUCUCUCAUCUCUCUGUUUCUAUUGUGAGUCCUACUUCAUCUCUUAAUAUAUGGUUUCUCACCUCUAGCAUUUCUUCAAUUGAUUUCUUGUUAUCAGCAUACCACUUAUUGUUUAGUGGGCAUGUUUUCCAUUUGACUUUAUACUCAGAUUUUUUUGAUUGGGUGACAAAAGGAACAGUGGAAAUUAUACUAGGACUCAUGAAUAAACCCUAUUGUGCAAAUAUUAGCAGCUUUCAGGAAUGGAAGUUGACAUGCUACUUCUAUUGGAGAGUAUUUAAGUGAUUUAUAACAGUAAUCACCAUAGUUAUUAAAAGUUCACUUUUGUUUGAAAGCAUCAGGUAAGCUACUGUCAUGCAGGUGUUUCAGAAUAUCUUCAAUGGGUAUCACAGGAAAACAGCUUCAAACUGCACAAUAAUUACAAUCACAAUUUCUGAAGCUAUUUCAUAGUUUAUUAUCUUUUUAUCUCUUAAUUUAUAAAUCUAGAUGCAAGGCUAUCUUCAGUGGAAAGAGGACUACCAUCCCUUAUAGCAUGUUCAUAGCUGCCUUGAGGACUGAUCCAAAGUGUGAGUCAGAUUGUACCUUUGGUCCAUGGAAAGACUCCUGUUGGUGUAGGCCUGCAGGGCCUGUUGUUUGGAGUUAAAAGAGGAGUCUUACCUGUUAUCGGAUGUCCAGAGAUGCCUAGCUGUAUUGGAUGAAGUGUGAGUUAGGACACACCUCUGCGACUCUGGAAGAUUCCUGGUGGGGAAACAGUCUGCAAAGCUUGCUGUCUGGAGUGGAAAGAGAUCCUUCACCUGUCAUCAGAUGUCUAGAGAUGUUUGGGUGUAUUGGCUGGAUUGUUGGUCCAGGUGCACAUCUGGCACUCAGAAAGACUACUGGUGGGGCAGUUGCCUACAAGACUUGCUGUAUGGAGUGGAAACUUUCUUCACCUGUCUUUGGAUCUCUGGAGAUGUCUUGGUGUAUUGGCUGGAGUGUGGGUUAGGGUACACCUUUGGCACUCAGAAAGACUUCUGAUGGGCUUUGACUGGUGGUCUUCUUAUCUGGACUUGCAAUGAUAUGGGCCGAAAUUCCUGGAAGAUGUGGUUCAAGGCACACCUCUAAUGCUUGGAAGCCUCCUGAUGGGGCAAGGGCUCGCUGUUUGGAGUAGAAAGCAAUCCUCCACCUGUCAUCAGAGAUAUCUAGGUUUAUUGGCUGGAGUGAUAGUCAGGGUGGACCUCGGCACUCAGAAAGACUCCUGGUGGUGUCAUUUCCUGCAGGGUUUGUCUCUGUAGUGGAAAGGGAACUUCACCUUAACUUGGAUCUGCAGAUGAUACUGUGCGGAAUGGCUCAAGCAUAGCUCAGGAGUCAUUGGCACUAUUACAUACUUGGUUCCUGUGUUCUUGAUUUGAUUCUCUUUUUCAACUUCCAUAGUCAUGAUUAAGUUGCUUUCUUUCUGGAGUUAAAUAUCUACUUUCACUGAUAAUUGAAUUUGCUUGAAAAACAUGAGAAGAAUAUGGGUCAGGGUACACCUUGGCAUUCAAAAGAAUACUGGAGGUCCAUGUGUUUGCUGGCUUUGCUAGUCAUGUGCCAAGAACAUUUUCCUUUUCUCCUUGGAACAGAGGCUGCUAGGAGUUGACUAUGCAAUAGGGUACUGUUGGUGCCCAUGUACAGUUUUGGAAGGUGGAAUUUUCUUUCCAACGUCUUCGUAGAUCAAGAAGAGCUUCCUGUUUCGCCACAGUAAAACUGAUGAUCUAGCCAAAUAAAAAAAAAAGAUUUGUUUGCUCUUGUGCCACAGACACUUCCCUAGAGUGGAGUUUGUUCACUAGGCACAUUUUUACAAAGAAGAGACUCCUGUUGUUGCAAGGAUGGAGGUUUAUUCAACAUCUGGAUCAAGUAUUUAACAAUAAUAUGUUAGUUUCCCUGGAUAUUUCCAAAGGUGGAGGUUUUCUGGCAGGCUUGCUGAGCACCAGUAAGAUCUUCCAGUAGUUCACUGAGCGAAUGCUGGGUGGAGACCCAGAUUAGUUCAGCCAGUGGACACGUUCAGAGGAAGGAGUAGCUGUGAGCAGAGUAUCUCCUUGGCAUCAUUGAGCUGGCCAAGAUUAAAGUGCAAGACUGUGGUCUACCAUGUGCAAGAUUCCUAUUUUAAAAGAAAAUGGAUCCAGAAGUUCUCAGAUGCAGUUUUCCUGCCAGGAAUAUGUCAAGAAGACCUCCAUAUUUUCACAGAAAAAAAUGCGGCUAGGACACCAAGGUCGAAUUUGUUCCAUAUGCCGUUCCUGUCUUUGAAUGCUUCUUGAAGGUGAUGUUUGCCUGCCAGGCUUGCUGAUCACAAAGAAGAUCUUCCUGUCGUUCAUUGAGCUAAUGGUGGGUGGGAGUCCGAGGUUUGGUUGGAGCAGUGGAUGCUUCCAGAGAUUCAAGUUGCCUGCCAGGCUCACCAUGCACCAAGAAGAGCGUCCUGUCAUGUCCUGAGCCAAACUGAUGUGACACCUCAGUUAAUUGGGCCAGCAAAUAUUCCAGAGGUUGAGUUUGACAGCUAGGCUCUCUAUAUGCCAAGAAGUGUUUCCUGUCAUUGCCAACCUGGAGACUGACAGUCACCUUGGUUGAAUUUGGCCAGGGUGCUGUGAGUACCUAUGGAUGUUUUCACAAGGUGGAAUUUGCCAACCAGUCUCAGUGUGCACCAAAAAGAGCUUCCUGUCAUCACCAAAUUGGAGACUAGCAGGAUAUGCUAGUUGAUGUGGGCCAUGGUGCUAUGGUUCCCAUGGUCACGUCUGGAAGGUGAAGUUUGUCGGCCAUAUUCUUUGUGCACCUUGACAAUUGGCCAGUUUUUUCUAGAGCAAAGGGCCGCAGUUUCCUCAGGUUGUCUGGCCAAGUGCUCUUUCCUCACAGCCACUUCAGAAGGAAAGAACUUCCUGUUGUCUUCUGUGUGGUGACUGAUGAGAUACCCUACAACAAAUUCAC